GAUGAACGCUGGCUACAGGCUUAACACAUGCAAGUCGAGGGGAAACGGCAUUGAGUGCUUGCACUGAAUGGACGUCGACCGGCGCACGGGUGAGUAACGCGUAUCCAACCUUCCCGUUACUGCGGGAUAACCUGUCGAAAGGCAGACUAAUACCGCAUGUUCUUCGAUGACGGCAUCAGAUUCGAAGCAAAGAUCCGUCGGUAACGGAGGGGGAUGCGUCUGAUUAGCUAGUUGGCGGGGCGACGGCCCACCAAGGCGACGAUCAGUAGGGGUUCUGAGAGGAAGGUCCCCCACAUUGGAACUGAGACACGGUCCAAACUCCUACGGGAGGCAGCAGUGAGGAAUAUUGGUCAAUGGGCGGAAGCCUGAACCAGCCAAGUAGCGUGCAGGAUGACGGCCCUACGGGUUGUAAACUGCUUUUAUGCGGGGAUAAAGUGAGGGACGCGUCCCUUUUUGCAGGUACCGCAUGAAUAAGGACCGGCUAAUUCCGUG
rnacentral:rRNA from 1 species